UAUUAACAUAUAUACAACAUAUAAUUAUAAUUGCAAAUAGAAUCAUUCAUAAUACAUAUAAUAAAAGUAAUCAUGCAUUAUAAUUAUUGCUUCACAAUUUAAGUUCAUAAUAUUGCAUUUGUCGUAUAGCUUUUCGUUAAAUUUGAAAAUAUAACUAAUCAUAAUGGCAGAAGGUGACCCAUUUGAUAACGAAUAAUAUGGAAAAUGGAAAUGAAACUGGAAUAUUAUUACAUAGAGUCUUGUGAAACGUUACUAUAUAGCCUAUUAAUUAUGGACAGUUGUUACCUCAUCAUGUGACUGUUUUUAUUCUGUUAACAUAUUUUAUAGUGUUAAUUAUAAUAAUAUUUAUAUGUAUAUGUCUAUACAGAAUGAUAAACAAUCAACCAGUUGAGGACGAUUUUCAAUUAAUGCCAAUGUUAUCUUUUGAAGAUGAAUCUUCAGAUGAGGAUAAUAAUUCUAGUUUUUUGGGAGAAAGUAGUGAAUAUGAAGAGACCAGACUAUGACAAGUUUAAAACCAAUAACCAUGUAUUAAAAGUAAUCAAUCUAUCAAUCAAUCAUUCAUUGAAUAAAAAUAUUAAAUAUAAAACGACAUAAAGGAAAAAAACUUUAAGGUAUUACUAAGAUAGUAUGUUGAAAUUAAAAAUUGAGUAAAAAAUAUAAAAAUUAUAAUUUACAUAAAAAUGAUCAGAAUAUGAAGAUAGUAAUGAUGACAAUAGUAGAGAAUAAACAUGUAAGCAGUGUCAAGAUUGUCAAUAUCUAAAGUGACGAUAUUAACACUGUAUUUGUCAAAAAAAUGUUAUUAAAAAAUUACAACUUAAGAAAUAAAUAUAAUAUUACUAUAACGACAUAAAAUGGCAUAUUUUUGAAUAUGUAGUACUUAUUUAAAUAAAAAAGCAUAAGAAUAUAUAUAAUAGUACCAAUAUACAAUUACAAGCUUAAAUUAUAUACUUAUAACAUUUCACUUUUAAUGUUUGUAUUAUUUUUUAGGUUAAAACUGAAUUAUUAGUUUUCAAGUGUGUAAGUAUUUUAAUAUAGUUCUUAUAUGCAUUCGGAAAAAAACUUAAUGUUUUUUUUUUUUUUUUUUUGUAUGUUACAAUAUUAAUAAGGCUUGUAGUUUUUGUAUCACAUUUAUGCAUUGUAUAUUUAAAAAAAAAAAAAAAAAAUUACAACAAUGUAAAAGACAAGAAUUUAUAUGAAUAACUCAUAUUGUUGUUGUUCGUUAUGCUCAUUAUAUGUUACGUAUAUACUAAUUUUCGUUAAUUCGAUUGUUGUUUUUGUUGUUUUUUAGUUUGGUUAUUGUUUAUCACGGUUUCAUUUUUGUGAGUGUAUGUUGACAAUGAACAUAAUGUUAUAUUAGUUUUAACGAAUAGUUUUUUGUGUCGUGCUUGUUUAAUAACUUUAUUUUUUCGUAAAUGUAGAGUUAUUAGGUUUAGUAACUUUUUGUUAAUUUUUUUUUUUUUAAUUAAUCAUGUUGUGUUAUUUAGCGCAUGUAACACAUUAAUAAUUAAAUGUUAUUUUAU